GACGAACGCUGGCGGCGUGCCUAAUACAUGCAAGUAGGACGCAGAUGCGAACGGGUGAGUAACGCAUAGGUAACUACCUAUUAGAGGGGGAUAAAUAAUGGAAACGAUAGCUAAUACCGCCUACUAGUAGAUGGACCUACGUUGUAUUAGUUUGUAGGUAGGGUAAUGGCCUACCUAGGCAACGAUACAUAGCCGACCUUGAGGGGUGAUCGGCCACACUGGGAAUGGGACCCUGGCCCGACUCCUGCGGGAGGCCGGCGGUGGGGAACUUCGGCAAUGGGGGGAACCCUGACCGGACAACGCCGCGGGAGUUGAGAAGGUUUUCGGGGCGUAAAGCUCUGUUGUUAAGGAAGCGGUACUUAACCAGAAAGGGACGGCUAACUACGUGCCAGCCGCCGCGGUAAUAC
rnacentral:rRNA from 1 species